rnacentral:sRNA from 1 species
AAUCCAUAGUGAGGCAUCACCUAAGCAAAUCCUUGUAUCUCUCACAUGCUUCAUACAGUGGCUCAUUGUCAAGUUGAGGCAAAAUUAGAGAUUUCAAUACGCAU